CAGGCGAGAGACGGGUGACCGCCCCUCAGCUCCUGAGCCGCUUCGGCGCUUCCGUUCCCGCAGCUCCCUAUUCGGACCCUCAGGGCAGAGCGCUAGGCGGCCAACUCGCUGCUCCGUGGAGCUGACGUUCAGAGAAUAUCCAUUUCUUAUUGAAAACAUCUGUUGAGCAUCUGUGAUCAGCCAGAUCCUGAGCUAGCCCCUUAAUUCUGCGAAGUCACCUUCCAAGUAGAAGACAACAAGAAAGGAAAAGAAAAAUAGAAAAACAAAAGGAAAGAAAAGAAAACCCUUUGCCCCAAGGUUUUUCCUAAACCCAGAAGCCAGAGAUCUCUGAUAUAUAACCAGUACACCUUCAAAACCUUAUCUCCUCCAAGUUGUAUAACUUCCUCAUCAGUCCCUUCUAGCGACUGGCUCAGAGAUCACGGGUUGAAGGCAGAAGCAGUCUUGGUCCUCUUGGUGUUCAUCAUACACUGUCAGCACUGAAGUAGUCGGCUGUUAUUUGUGCUGUGAGAUUCCAAGGGCUCCUGCCCAGUAAGGGACAGUGACAGUGUGGACCCUGUUGUGCUUAGACAAAUAUAAAUCCCAUUUUAAAAGGAUCAGAAUUCUGUGGAAUACUGUCUAAUCCAUUUAAAAUGACAAAAGGGAAAAUGAUUUUAUGAUGUUAGCCAUGUUUAGCCAACUUUUAAGGACUUCCCUGGUGGCUCACACGAUAAAGCGUCUGUCUACAAUGAGGGAGAUCCAGGUUCAAUCCCUGGGUCAGGAAGAUACCCUGGAGAAGGAAAUGGCAACCCACUCCAGUAAUAUUGCCUGGAAAAUCCUGUGGAUGGAGCAGCCUGGUAGACUACAGUCCAUGGGGUUGCAAAGAGUCGGACAUGACUAAGCGACUUCACUCACUCAGCCAACUUUUAGAAAAAAGUUGGAAGAACAGAUAAGUAAAAUACUUAUGUUGGUUAGAGUGCUUGAUUGUGGCAAAUGAUCUAAUUUGGAAUUACACUAACAUUGAUAGAAUGUAUUUAAAAUAAAUGAAAAUGUCCUUGUUCUGUUUACCCAUUGCUACAUAAUAAACCACCUCAAAACUUA